CCUACGGGGGGCUGCAGUGGGGAAUAUUGCACAAUGGGCGCAAGCCUGAUGCAGCCAUGCCGCGUGUGUGAAGAAGGCCUUCGGGUUGUAAAGCACUUUCAGCGGGGAGGAAGGCGUUAAGGUUAAUAACCUUGUCGAUUGACGUUACCCGCAGAAGAAGCACCGGCUAACUCCGUGCCAGCAGCCGCGGUAAUACGGAGGGUGCAAGCGUUAAUCGGAAUUACUGGGCGUAAAGCGCACGCAGGCGGUCUGUCAAGUCGGAUGUGAAAUCCCCGGGCUCAACCUGGGAACUGCAUUCGAAACUGGCAGGCUAGAGUCUUGUAGAGGGGGGUAGAAUUCCAGGUGUAGCGGUGAAAUGCGUAGAGAUCUGGAGGAAUACCGGUGGCGAAGGCGGCCCCCUGGACAAAGACUGACGCUCAGGUGCGAAAGCGUGGGAAGCAAACAGGAUUAGAUACCCGUGUAGUC
rnacentral:rRNA from 1 species